AUUGAACGCUGGCGGCAGGCUUAACACAUGCAAGUCGAGCGAGCGGCGGACGGGUGAGUAAUGUCUGGGAAACUGCCUGAUGGAGGGGGAUAACUACUGGAAACGGUCGCUAAUACCGCAUACCCUCAGAUGUGCCCAGAUGGGAUUAGCUAGUAGGUGGGGUAAUGGCUCACCUAGGCGACGAUCCCUCGCUGGUCUGAGAGGAUGACCAGCCACACUGGAACGGAGACACGGUCCAGACGCGUACGGGAGGCAGCAGUGGGGAAUAUUGCACGAUGGGCGCAAGCCUGAUGCAGCCAGGCCGCGUGUGUGAAGAAGGCCUGCGGGGUGUAAGGCACUUUCAGCGAGGAGGCGUUACGCGCAGAAGAAGCACCGGCUAACUCCGUGCCAGCAGCCGCGGUAAUUC
rnacentral:rRNA from 1 species